rnacentral:pre_miRNA from 1 species
CAGCCUCAGUUGGAGAAGCAGGUCACGUGCAGUUAGCUACUAGUGCUUGCUCAGCUUCAUGGGAGAGAGCUAAGCUAGCAAAACCAUGCACGUGCUCUCCUUCUCCAACACAGUUUC